rnacentral:ncRNA from 12 species
CUCUAAUAUUAAGUCAGAUUAUAUAUUUCAUGGAAUAUAUACAGUAUAGGUAUUAGAUAUUAAAGGAAGUCUAUUCCUUCUUAAAAGCAAUUUUAAGUAAAUAUGAAUUAUAAAAGUAUAUGUAUUAGUAAAUUGAAAAAUUGAAUAUAUGUAUACUUU